rnacentral:rRNA from 1 species
UACGGAGGGUGCAAGCGUUAUCCGGAUUCACUGGGUUUAAAGGGGGCGUAGGUGGAUUAGUAAGUCAGUGGUGAAAUCUCUGGGCUUAACUCAGAAACUGCCAUUGAUACUAUUAGUCUUGAAUACCGUGGAGGUCAGCGGAAUAUGUCAUGUAGCGGUGAAAUGCUUAGAUAUGACAUAGAACACCAAUUGCGAAGGCAGCUGGCUACACGAAUAUUGACACUGAUGCACGAAAGCGUGGGGAUCAAACAGG